UGAAAAGGGUGGAAACAUCUAAUUCAAUGUAUUUCAUAUUUGAGUACUAGAUGGGGUUGCCUGAAACCAACUCUAAACUGUUCUCUUGUAACUUUUCAUUCUUUAAUUGAAUCAGCAUACUUAGCAAAAAAUUAAAUGAAAAAGCCUUCAGGUUCACUAGAACUUGUAGGAAUCUGCCAAACCUCCAAUUACUUGGUACAAAAAUGCGAUGAACAAAACUAUACAGCUUAAUUUUGUCGUAUUCCAAAAUAAUUACCUCAAUCUUAACAUCAUCAUCCAAGAUAGCCGCCGGUGCUGGGGUAUUGAUGUAGGACAUAACACAUACCCCAAUUGGUUUUCUAUUUGGGUUUAUGAUUUAUUUAGAAGCCUAAAUAGUAUUUAUAAAUUGUUAUUUUCGUUUUUAUUAAUUAGAAGUGUCUAAAAGUCUUAUUUUGAGUCCUGAUUGACUUAGGAAGUUGCCAAAAGUUAAUACAUACCUUAGGGAACAAGUAAUUCAAGUUCUAGUAGGUUUCCUAAUUGUGUCAAGAGAGUUAUCUAUAUAAAGAGCUCCAAAAACGAAUUUCUUAGCGAAAUUGAUGAAUGAAGAGUUUAUUAUUUAGUUUAUUGUCUUUCAAUUUAGUUUUUACUUCAAGUUCUUUAUUUUCCGCAAUUUACAUUCAAGUUAUUUAAAUUUCAGCUUUUACUUAUUACAAUUCCUUUCUGUUAUUUCAAUUCCUUGCAAUCUUAAUUCUUAGAUUAAGUUUAUUUUAGCUUCCGCUGCAUCAAUUGGUAUCAGAGCUCUAGUUUUAAAUUUUUAUCUAAAAACGAUCCACCACCUCCCCACCACCACCUUCAAAUUUGUUUUCAACCAUGGUUCUUAGUGAUGAAGAAAAAAAUUUCUUUAGGGAUUUGUUUCGGGAUUCAUUGAACACAUUAUUUGUCAAACAAGAUGCCACACUCAAUUCGAAAUUCACUCAACAACUAGUAGAGAUCAAGACAACCCUUGGUAUUUAUGAAGAAUCGUGAUAUAAGAUUGAAGAAAUCAAAGCGGACAUUAUCGAAGAUAUCCAUGAUGAACCAAUCAAUACAUCUUUAACCACCCCACCACCCUUCUCUACCAACAACCUUUCCACACCUACCAUUCUUACCCUAAGUAAUGAAAUCUCUUCCACACCAAAACAUCAUGACAUUAUUGAAGAAGUUAGAAAGGUUUUUAUUAAGGAGCCACCAAGUAUUCGUGAAGAUCCUUCAACCCAUGUGGUCAAAAUUGAAGAUCAAACACAUGUUUUUAAGGAAGAAAAGAAUCAUAAAGUUGAGUUUGCAGUGAAAGAUUCAUUGUCCAUUAAUAUUCAUCAUAAUGAUUUUAUUGGCAUUGAUCGUAUUCUUUUCAAGCAAGUUCUCUUUGUUUUCGAAGUCCAAGGAUCAAAAGAUCAAAUCGGGAAUAGUUCAUAAGAAUUCAUGUUAUUCAAAGUAUCUUUUCUUAUGGAGCGGACGUCAUCAAUACAACUUAAAUUCGAGGACGAAUUCUUUUGAAGAAUGGGGGACUGAUGUAGGACAUAACACAUACCCCAAUUGGUUUUCUAUUUGGGUUUAUGAUUUAUUUAGAAGCCUAAAUAGUAUUUAUAAAUUGUUAUUUUCGUUUUUAUUAAUUAGAGUGUCUUUAGAAGUGUCUAGAAGUCUUAUUUUGAGUCCUGAUUGACUUAGGAAGUUGCCAAAAGUUAAUACAUACCUUAGGGAACAAGUAAUUCAAGUUCUAGUAGGUUUCCUAAUUGUGUCAAGAGAGUUAUCUAUAUAAAGAGCUCCAAAAACGAAUUUCUUAGCGAAAUUGAUGAAUGAAGAGUUUAUUAUUUAGUUUCUUGUCUUUCAAUUUAGUUUUUACUUCAAGUUCUUUAUUUUCCGCAAUUUACAUUCAAGUUAUUUAAAUUUCAGCUUUUACUUAUUACAAUUCCUUUCUGUUAUUUCAAUUCCUUGCAAUCUUAAUUCUUAGAUUAAGUUUAUUUUAGCUUCCGCUGCAUCAGGUAUAGUCCAUCGGUUGGAUUUGACGAGGUGGAAUAAGUUCAGGGUCCCAACUGACGAAGUAUAUGUCACUGUCCAAAUCACUUCCUGAGCACUCAUUUGGAUGUGGUCUACAAUCCAAACAAAGUAGAGGUAACAUUAUAAACUAAGCCCACAUACAGAAAACAUUGAAUUUUGAAGAAAAUG
rnacentral:lncRNA from 1 species